CUUGUGUGGUGACAUGAUAACCACUGUUUCUGAGAACUGCUUCACAUCUGUGCUGCAUGGAGUUGACCAACUUUUGGCACAUGUGAUCAGGUAUUCCAUUCCAGGACCAUUAGGCUACAAUCCACAAUUCCUCUGCAUUUCUGGUUUUGGCUCAGAAACAGCAUUUAUGAUGUCACCCCACAAGUUUUCUCUUGGAUUAAGGUUCUGGGAUUGCUGGCCACUACAUAACCUUUACUCUUGUUGGUCUGGGACCAAGAUGCUGCUCACUUGCCGGUGUGUUUGGGGUCAUUGUCUUGUUGAAACAUCCAUUUCAAGAGCACUU